rnacentral:rRNA from 1 species
AUUGAACGCUGGCGGCAGGCCUAACACAUGCAAGUCGAACGGAGUGGCGGACGGGUGAGUAAUGUAUGGGAAACUGCCCGAUGGAGGGGGAUAACUGCUGGAAACGGUCGCUAAUACCGCAUACCAUCGGAUGUGCCCAGAGGGGAUUAGCUAGUUGGUGGGGUAAAGGCCUACCAAGGCGACGAUCCGUAACUGGUCUGAGAGGAUGAUCAGUCACACUUGAACUGAGACACGGCCCAGACUCCUACGGGAGGCAGCAGUAGGGAAUAUUGGACAAUGGGCGAAAGCCUGAUCCAGCCAUGCCGCGUGUGUGAAGAAGGUCUUCGGAUUGUAAAGCACUUUAAGUUGGGAGGCGUUACCUACAGAGAAAGCACCGGCUAACUCCGUGCCAGCAGCCGCGGUAAUAC